GACAACAUUGUAAGCUAGCUGAAAUUAACUCGUUUUUUUUGUGUUAUAAUGCACAAAAAAUGGAAAGUAAUAUGCGUUCAUGUUUCACAUAAGAAUUGUGCAUGAUUCAAAAUAAGUGCAGUUCCCCUUUAAGGACCUCCAAAAUACUCUCCAAAAAAAAACUUGUCAAAGAUCCUCUAUACAACAGGAGCGCUCUACUGUUUUUAAUGACGUACACGCUACACAAGGAUCCUAUGCGAGCCGUUUUGACCAAGGCUUAGGGGUGCAAAAAUGUUGUAGCUUGUUGCCUUCAGGUGAUGUGGGGAAACAACAAAAACACUAACGAAACAAGAUUAAAGUAUCUCUUAUUUUUCCAUUUCUGUUUCCUCAAUGCAUCCUGUUAAAGGGACAAACCACCUGUUGCUAUGCGCAAAAUGUAGCUGAUUUCCAUGUUAGCCCACAAUACACAAACAGUCUAAUCGGUUGAAUGUGCAGACUACGUGUGUCUCAUCAAUAAUUCACAGCUUUAUCAGCAAAGCGCUCCACUGACCUAAUUACAGACAAAAGCUUUGAUUUUGGUGCCCUCUGUUGUAGAUAUUUGUUUUUGGUUUAUAUUUUUAGUCAAGAUUUUAGCCUUCUAUGAAUGCCAGCUGUAAUGGGUAUGAGGAUGAUUGAGGUUAGCUAAUCGCCAACUAGCUAACUAGCCUGCUAGUUUGGUUUACAUUCACAUUUCUAACCCGGGGGAAGCUCAGUUAAAGAGGCAGGAGGAUCGUCAGAAGAACUGACCGAACACCGUCGUCCUCAGUGGGCCGAUAAUAGCAGGAGAUGUCGCCAACGUCCACAGAAUGUUUUUGUGCCACCGCUCGUGAGGAUAAGCGGCAUAGAGAAUGGAUGGAUGGAUGGAUGCUCACAUGUGUGCACAAGUUCAGGCAUUCGGCACUGCAGCUCUGAGAAGGAACAAUAAGUCCUGCUGUUUUCCCUCCAAAAGUCUUCUUCCCACAAUCCAUUGCAGUCUACAGUAAUUUACACUAAUGCUCUGGUUUGAUAAGUGAUUUUAAUGUCAAUUACUGUUACCAAAGCACUGUCGAGAGUACCGCGUUAGUACAUAUUAGCCAGUCACAGUAAAAUACGGUAUGUAUUACAAACUGGUUAAUCAUAGUAAUAAUCACAGUAAUGCACUGCUCAUAAUACGGUGUUAUUGUAUACUAUUGUUAAAGUGCAGUAAUAUAUUGUAAUAUGAUUCACAGUAAAUUACUUAUUAUUUACAGACUGGUGUUACUGUGAAAGUUUGUGUAAUUUACAGUACUCUAAUGUGAAAACAUUUACAGUAAAUUAGUGUCAACACUACAAUAGUCCAUUGUAG